CAGGCCUAACACAUGCAAGUCGAACGAGAUCUUUCGGGGUCUAGUGGCGCACGGGUGCGUAACGCGUGGGAAUCUGCCCUUGGGUUCGGAAUAACUCGCCGAAAGGCGUGCUAAUACCGGAUGAUGACGUAAGUCCAAAGAUUUAUCGCCCAAGGAUGAGCCCGCGUAGGAUUAGCUAGUUGGUGAGGUAAGAGCUCACCAAGGCGACGAUCCUUAGCUGGUCUGAGAGGAUGAUCAGCCACACUGGGACUGAGACACGGCCCAGACUCCUACGGGAGGCAGCAGUGGGGAAUAUUGGACAAUGGGCGAAAGCCUGAUCCAGCAAUGCCGCGUGAGUGAUGAAGGCCUUAGGGUUGUAAAGCUCUUUUACCCGGGAUGAUAAUGACAGUACCGGGAGAAUAAGCUCCGGCUAACUCCGUGCCAGCAGCCGCGGUAAU
rnacentral:rRNA from 1 species